AGUGGAUGGGGAGCAACCUAGUUGUGCGUGUGUAAAGGUAGCGCCAAGAAAAGCGGUGAUCAUGAUGAAAAUCAAUUCCCGGUACCCGAAACCGACACAGGUGGGCAAGUAGAGAAUACUAAGGGGCGCGAGGUAACUCUCUCCAAGGAACUCGGCAAAAUGACCCCGUAACUUAGGGAGAAGGGGUGCCACCGAGAGGUGGUCGCAGUGAAGAGGCCCAGGCGACUGUUUAGCAAAAACAUAGGUCUCUGCAAACUCGAAAGAGGAGGUAUAGGGGCUGACGCCUGCCCAGUGCCGGAAGGUUAAAGAAGUUGGUCAGUCUUAGGAUAAAGCUAGCGACUGAAGCCCCGGUGAACGGCGGCCGUAACUAUAACGGUCCUAAGGUAGCGAAAUUCCUUGUCGGGUAAGUUCCGACCCGCACGAAAGGCGUAACGAUCUGGGCGCUGUCUCGGAGAGAGGCUCGGCGAAAUAGGAUUGUCUGUGAAGAUACGGACUACCUGCAUUUGGACAGAAAGACCCUAUGAAGCUUUACUAUAGCUUGGAAUUGUGUUCGGGCUUCCUGUGCGCAGGAUAGGUGGGAGGCGAAGAAGGUAUUCUUGUGGGGAUACUGGAGCCAACGGUGAGAUACCACUCUCAGGAGGCUAGAAUUCUAACUUAAUUAAGGACAGUUUCAGGUGGGUAGUUUGACUGGGGCGGUCGCCUCCAAAAAGGUAACGGAGGCGUACAAAGGUUCCCUCAGACUGGUUGGAAAUCAGUCGCAGAGUGCAAAGCAGAAGGGAGCUUGACUGCGAGAAGUACAGUUCGAGCAGGGUGGAAACACGGUCUUAGUGAUCCGACGGUGCUGUGUGGAAGGGCCGUCGCUCAACGGAUAAAAGUUACUCUAAGGAUAACAGGCUGAUCUCCCCCAAGAGUUCACAUCGACGGGGAGGUUUGGCACCUCGAUGUCGGCUCAUCGCAACCUGGGGCGGAAGUACGUCCCAAGGGUUGGGCUGUUCGCCCAUUAAAGCGGUACGUGAGCUGGGUUCAGAACGUCGUGAGACAGUUCGGUCCAUAUCCGAUGUAGGCGUGAGAAUAUUGAGAGGAGCCUUCCUUAGUACGAGAGGACCGGGAAGGACGCACCGCUGGUGUACCUGUUAUGAUGCCAAUUGUAAACGCAGGGUAGCCAAGUGCGGAGAGGAUAACCGCUGAAAGCAUCUAAGUGGGAAGCCCACCUCAAGAUGAGUAUUCUGGUGUAAGGUCACGGGAAGACGACCCGUAAAUAGGCACGAGGUGGAAGUGCAGAGAUGUAUGAAGCCGAAGUGUACUAAUAGACCGUCGGCUUGACCA
rnacentral:rRNA from 1 species